CAGUCGCCGCGGUAAUACGAAGGGGGCUAGCGUUGUUCGGAAUUACUGGGCGUAAAGCGCACGUAGGCGGAUAUUUAAGUCAGGGGUGAAAUCCCAGAGCUCAACUCUGGAACUGCCUUUGAUACUGGGUAUCUUGAGUAUGGAAGAGGUUAGUGGAAUUGCGAGUGUAGAGGUGAAAUUCGUAGAUAUUCGCAGGAACACCAGUGGCGAAGGCGGCUAACUGGUCCAUAACUGACGCUGAGGUGCGAAAGCGUGGGGAGCAAACCGGAUUAGAUACCCGCGUAGUCCCUGUCUCUUAUAC
rnacentral:rRNA from 1 species